GAUGAACGCUGGCGGCGUGCCUAAUACAUGCAAGUCGAGCGAACGGACGAGAAGCUUGCUUCUCUGAUGUUAGCGGCGGACGGGUGAGUAACACGUGGAUAACCUACCUAUAAGACUGGGAUAACUUCGGGAAACCGGAGCUAAUACCGGAUAAUAUUUUGAACCGCAUGGUUCAAAAGUGAAAGACGGUCUUGCUGUCACUUAUAGAUGGAUCCGCGCUGCAUUAGCUAGUUGGUAAGGUAACGGCUUACCAAGGCAACGAUGCAUAGCCGACCUGAGAGGGUGAUCGGCCACACUGGAACUGAGACACGGUCCAGACUCCUACGGGAGGCAGCAGUAGGGAAUCUUCCGCAAUGGGCGAAAGCCUGACGGAGCAACGCCGCGUGAGUGAUGAAGGUCUUCGGAUCGUAAAACUCUGUUAUUAGGGAAGAACAUAUGUGUAAGUAACUGUGCACAUCUUGACGGUACCUAAGCAGAAAGCCACGGCUAACUACGC
rnacentral:rRNA from 1 species